rnacentral:rRNA from 1 species
GAUGAACGCUGGCGGCGUGCCUAAUACAUGCAAGUCGAGCGAACAGACGAGGAGCUUGCUCCUCUGACGUUAGCGGCGGACGGGUGAGUAACACGUGGAUAACCUACCUAUAAGACUGGGAUAACUUCGGGAAACCGGAGCUAAUACCGGAUAAUAUAUUGAACCGCAUGGUUCAAUAGUGAAAGACGGUUUUGCUGUCACUUAUAGAUGGAUCCGCGCCGCAUUAGCUAGUUGGUAAGGUAAAGGCUUACAAAGGCGACGAGGCGUAGCCGACCUGAGAGGGUGGUCGGCCACACUGGAACUGAGACACGGUCCAGACUCCUACGGGAGGCAGCAGUAGGGAAUCUUCCGCAAUGGGCGAAAGCCUGACGGAGCAACGCCGCGUGAGUGAUGAAGGUCUUCGGAUCGUAAAACUCUGUUAUUAGGGAAGAACAAAUGUGUAAGUAACUAUGCACGUCUUGACGGUACCUAAUCAGAAAGCCACGGCUAACUACGUG